CCCUUUUGUUGGUUUUUAGGAAGGGCUGUGUCUUCUGGGAGUAUCUAUGUUAAUCCACCUCUUGGAACUAGAUGUAGUCUGGUACUUAGUCGCUGAAAUGCUGGAGGAGUAAGAGGAAGGGUGAGGGGAAGGGCUCUUGGCUAAUAUCUCCCAUUAUCUGGAAGACAGUUUUAGGUUUUAACUAUAGGCCUGUAUGUGCAUUUUUGUGACGUACCUGUGUUUAUUGUGGACAAGCUUCAUUACUUUGCAGCAUCUAGGCUUUUUAGAUGUCCUGAGGUGACAAGGUAUGAUAUAAAGUAGAACUAG
rnacentral:lncRNA from 1 species